GCUUUCUUUGCCAAAGUUGCCAUUUUCACAUUCGUAUAUCGUGUGGCAGGUACGUUUAUACACUGAAACUAAUGUUGUAGUAACCUCAAUCACGACAUUGUUGUUACCACAACUAUGCCCAAAUAGUGUUGAAUUGAUUGAAAGAAUCUUCUUAAUAAGAACAAUGUUGUUGAAAUUACCACGUUAACAAAGCUAAAGCACUGCACUUUUAACAACUUUUUUGUAGUCAAGAGCUAUUCUUCUUGAAGUUGACUUGACAACGUAUUCAGUAACAAGCAACAGUAAAUGUUCUCAAUUUUACCAUGCUCGUGGUUGAAAUUAAAACAGAGAAUUGUAAUAUGUACUACUGUGCAGUUAUGCCUGUAACUCAAGUUCACUCCCAUCGAAAGACGCCAUUUCGGUGUAUUGAUUUAGAUAUGAAGUUUAGUAGACGAUUGGAGGCAAACUAAAUUAACCAAAAAUGAAACACUUGAGCAUCCAGAUUUUGAUGACCAGUUUUUCCGAUCGGUGUUUAUGCUGCGUCAGCUUCAGCAAAUCAUCCACCGGGAAGAUAACCUGGCGGUGAUUAAAUUCAACGAGCCGGGAGUAGUGAUCUUCUAGGCAGACCAUUUUGUAUCAAAUGCUCCUGAACAGGAUAGCCAGUCGCUGCACAUGAAGGUCAGCCAAGCGUCAGUGCUGGCGAUGGAAACCCGCCUUAUCAAUGGUCUUUGGAUAAUCUCCAUAACCUGGACCAACUAUUUGAUCGACGCGACCACCGCACCAACGCAGUUCUAACGUCACACCGAUAUCGUCCGUCGUUUUUCAUUCCGCUACACAAAUUUGCAAUCCUGAAUGCAUCAUGUGUAGAUUUGAUCAUUUUCAAUAAAAACAGUUCCAAUCGAA